rnacentral:tRNA from 1 species
GCCCCCAUAGCCCAACUGGCAGAGGCAGCCGGCUUAAACCCGGCCCAGUCCCGGUUCGAACCCGGGUGGGGGCACCU